rnacentral:rRNA from 1 species
CCUACGGGGGGCAGCAGUAGGGAAUCUUCCGCAAUGGGCGAAAGCCUGACGGAGCAACGCCGCGUGAGUGAUGAAGGUCUUCGGAUCGUAAAACUCUGUUAUUAGGGAAGAACAAAUGUGUAAGUAACUAUGCACGUCUUGACGGUACCUAAUCAGAAAGCCACGGCUAACUACGUGCCAGCAGCCGCGGUAAUACGUAGGUGGCAAGCGUUAUCCGGAAUUAUUGGGCGUAAAGCGCGCGUAGGCGGUUUUUUAAGUCUGAUGUGAAAGCCCACGGCUCAACCGUGGAGGGUCAUUGGAAACUGGAAAACUUGAGUGCAGAAGAGGAAAGUGGAAUUCCAUGUGUAGCGGUGAAAUGCGCAGAGAUAUGGAGGAACACCAGUGGCGAAGGCGACUUUCUGGUCUGUAACUGACGCUGAUGUGCGAAAGCGUGGGGAUCAAACAGGAUUAGAUACCCUUGUAGUC